rnacentral:rRNA from 1 species
UACGGAGGGUGCGAGCGUUAAUCGGAAUUACUGGGCGUAAAGGGCGCGUAGGCGGCUUGGUCAGUCCCGUGUGAAAUCCCUCGGCUCAACUGAGGAACUGCACGGGAAACUGCCUGGCUUGAGUUCGGGAGAGGGAAGCGGAAUUCCGGGUGUAGCGGUGAAAUGCGUAGAUAUCCGGAGGAACACCGGUGGCGAAGGCGGCUUCCUGGACCGACACUGACGCUGAGGCGCGAAAGCUAGGGGAGCAAACGGG